GACCCCAUAGCUCAGUGGUAGAGCGUGUGAUUCCAGUUAAGGAAUUUCCACAAGGUCUUCCGUUCAAUCCGGGAUGGGGUCA
rfam:Sphaerobolus stellatus SS14 unplaced genomic scaffold SPHSTscaffold_3, whole genome shotgun sequence.